GUCUGGGUAGCUCAGUUGGUUAAGUGUCUGACUUUGGCUCAGGUCAUGAUUUCACAGUUCGUGGGUUUGAGCCCCGCAUCAGGCU
rnacentral:tRNA from 1 species